rnacentral:rRNA from 1 species
GAGUUUGAUCAUGGUUCAGGACGAACGCUGGCGGCGUGCCUAAUACAUGCAAGUCGAGCGGACCUUUCGGGGUCAGCGGCGGACGGGUGAGUAACACGUGGGCAAUCUGCCCGAUACUCUGGGAUAACGCUUGGAAACGAGUGCUAAUACCGGAUGGUCUUCUUGGCCGCAUGGCCGAGAAGGAAAAGACGCGUUCGCGUCGGUGUCGGAUGAGCCCGCGGCGCAUUAGCUAGUUGGUGAGGUAACGGCCCACCAAGGCGACGAUGCGUAGCCGACCUGAGAGGGUGACCGGCCACACUGGGACUGAGACACGGCCCAGACUCCUACGGGAGGCAGCAGUAGGGAAUCUUCCACAAUGGGCGAAAGCCUGAUGGAGCAACGCCGCGUGAGUGAUGAAGGCCUUCGGGUGUAAAACUACUGUCAUUCGGGACGAGCCGGAGUCUGAGGAAAUGCAGACUCUCUGACGGUACCGGAGGAGGAAGCCCGGCUAACUACGUGCCAGCCG